CAGGCAGGAAAUGACCUAGCAUGGAGACUCAUGCAUAAACAAGGGAAGAAGGAAGUGUGGUCUUUCUUCCUCCAGCAGCACCAUGUGAUCCACCAGCAAAUGAGGAUGCCUAUGGAAGGCAUCGAUAAGAAAAUGAAAAGCUGUGGAUGCCUUCCAGACUAAUAUGGUUUGAUUAAGCAAGACCCUCUGAAGCAGUGACCCAACUGAUGCUACAUCCAAAACAGCUGAGAUGAUACAGCCUUACAGACUACAAAAACAAGGACUUGGUCAGAUUUCUGUGUUUUAUCAUGAUCUUCAUGUUAUCGACAUCACCUCCAAUCAUUUGAAAUGAAUGAUGCCCAAGUUCCCAAAUAUUGUUUAUAAAUGUUUGUUUUCAUUUAAA